GACGUAGGGCGCGAGCGUUGUCCGGAAUUACUGGGCGUAAAGCGCGUGUAGGCGGCUAGGUAAGUCAGGCGUGAAAUCCCACGGCUCAACCGUGGAAGUGCACCUGAUACUGCAUAGCUAGAGUCCUGGAGAGGAAGGUGGAAUGCUUGGUGUAGAGGUGAAAUUCGUAGAUAUCAAGCGGAACACCGGUGGCGAAGGCGGCCUUCUGGACAGUGACUGACGCUGAGACGCGAAAGCGUGGGGAGCAAACAGG
rnacentral:rRNA from 1 species